UACCAGCACCCCGAGUGGUCGGGACGAUUAUUGGGCCUAAAGCAUCCGUAGCCGGUUUACAAGUCCUCCGUUAAAUCCAGCUGCUUAACAGAUGGGCUGCGGAGGAUACUAUAAGACUAGGAGGCAGGAGAGGCAAGCGGUACUCAGUGGGUAGGGGUAAAAUCCGUUGAUCCAUUGAAGACCACCAGUGGCGAAGGCGGCUUGCCAGAAUGCGCUCGACGGUGAGGGAUGAAAGCUGGGGAGCAAACCGG
rnacentral:rRNA from 1 species